AUGAUGUAUAUUCACUUGGAAAAUUGAGUGAUAAGAUGUGGUUCUACAGCUAAAGCAAAGGGUCAGAGGACAAAAGCUUUUCUCCGAGUCUUAAAAUAUUCAACAGGUGGAGUUCUAGAGCCUGCUAAACUGUACAAGCUAAAGCAUCUUUCUAAGGUGGAAGUUAUAACUAAUGACCCCAGUGGAUGUACGUUUACUCUGGGAUUUGAUAAUCUUAGAAGCCAGAGUGUUGCUCCACCACAAUGGACCAUGCGCAAUAUUGAUGACAGGAACCGCCUUCUACUUUGUAUCUUAAACAUCUGCAAGGACGUACUGGGUCGUCUUCCAAAAGUUGUUGGUAUAGAUGUUGUGGAGAUGGCUCUUUGGGCUAAGG